GAAAUACUCCCUCCGUCCGGAAAUACUUGUCAUCAAAAUGGAUGUAUUUAGAACUAAAAUACAUCUAGAUACAUCCAUUUCAAUGACAAGUAUUUCCGGGCGGAGGGAGUAAUAA
rnacentral:pre_miRNA from 1 species